rnacentral:rRNA from 1 species
UACGAAGGGGGCUAGCGUUGCUCGGAAUCACUGGGCGUAAAGGGUGCGUAGGCGGGUCUUUAAGUCAGGGGUGAAAUCCUGGAGCUCAACUCCAGAACUGCCUUUGAUACUGAAGAUCUUGAGUUCGGGAGAGGUGAGUGGAACUGCGAGUGUAGAGGUGAAAUUCGUAGAUAUUGGGAGGAACACCAGUGGCGAAGGCGGCUCACUGGACCGGUACUGACGCUGAUGCGCGAAAGCGUGGGGAGCAAACGGGG